rnacentral:rRNA from 1 species
UACGAAGGGGGCUAGCGUUGUUCGGAAUCACUGGGCUUAAAGGGCGCGUAGGCGGGGGACCAAGUCCGGGGUGAAAUCUUUCGGCUCAACCGGAAAACUGCCUUGGAUACUGGUCUUCUUGAGGGAGGUAGGGGCAGGUGGAACUUCCGGUGGAGCGGUGAAAUGCGUUGAUAUCGGAAGGAACGCCGGUGGCGAAAGCGACCUGCUGGAUCUCUUCUGACGCUGAGGCGCGAAAGCUAGGGGAGCGAACGGG